GGGCACCACCAGGGGGUGCUGCUGCGGCUUAUUUGACUCAACACGGGAAAUCUCACCAGGCCCGGACACCGGAAGGAUUGACAGAUUAACAGCUCUUUCUUGAUUCGGUGGGUGGUGGUGCAUGGCCGUUCUUAGUUGGUGGAGCGAUUUGUCUGGUUAAUUCCGGUAACGAACGAGACUCUAGCCUGCUAAAUAGGCGUCGCCAUUUAGGUGUGCUCGACUUCGGUCGUGCAACUCACUGGCGACGUAUUAAAAUUCUUCUUAGAGGGACCGGCGGCUUCGAGCCGCACGAGAUUGAGCAAUAACAGGUCUGUGAUGCCCUUAGAUGUCCUGGGCCGCACGCGCGCUACACUGAAGGAAUCA
rnacentral:rRNA from 1 species